CCUACGUGUGGCAGCAGUGGGGGAUAUUGCACAAUGGGGGGAACCCUGAUGCAGCGACGCCGCGUGGGUGAAGAAGCGCCUCGGCGCGUAAAGCCCUGUCAGCCGGGAAGAAACUGACGGUACCUGCAGAAGAAGCCCCGGCUAACUACGUGCCAGCAGCCGCGGUAAUACGUAGGGGGCAAGUGUUAUCCGGAUUUACUGGGUGGAAAGGGGGCGCAGACGGCGAUGCAAGCCAGGAGUGAAAGGCCGGGGCCCAACCCCGGGACUGCUCUGGGAACGGCGUGGCUGGAGGGCAGGAGGGGCAGGCGGAAGUCCUGGUGUAGCGGUGAAAUGCGUAGAUAUCAGGAGGAACACCGGUGGCGAAGGCGGCCUGCUGGACUGCAACUGACGUUGAGGCCCGAAAGCGUGGGGAGCAAACAGGAUUAGAUACCCGAGUAGUC
rnacentral:rRNA from 1 species